GACGUAGGGCGCGAGCGUUGUCCGGAUUUAUUGGACGUAAAGAGCUCGUAGGCGGCUUGUUGCGUCAGCUGUGAAAACCCGCAGCUCAACUGUGGGCUUGCAGCUGAUACGGGCAGGCUUGAGUUCGGUAGGGGAGACUGGAAUUCCUGGUGUAGCGGUGAAAUGCGCAGAUAUCAGGAGGAACACCGGUGGCGAAGGCGGGUCUCUGGGCCGAUACUGACGCUGAGACGCGAAAGCGUGGGGAGCGAACAGG
rnacentral:rRNA from 1 species